rnacentral:rRNA from 1 species
ACACCGGCAGCUCAAGUGGUAGCCGCUUUUAUUGGGCCUAAAGCGUCCGUAGCCGGUCUGAUAAGUCUCUGGUGAAAUCCCGCAGCUUAACUGUGGGCAUUGCUGGAGAUACUAUCAUGACUCGAGGUCGGGAGAGGCUGGAGGUACUCCCAGGGUAGGGGUGAAAUCCUGUAAUCCUGGGAGGACCACCUGUGGCGAAGGCGUCCAGCUGGAACGAACCUGACGGUGAGGGACGAAAGCCAGGGGCGCGAACCGGAUUAGAUACCCGGGUAGUCCUGGCCGUAAACGAUGUGGACUUGGUGUUGGGAUGGCUUCGAGCUGCCCCAGUGCCGAAGGGAAGCUGUUAAGUCCACCGCCUGGGAAGUACGGCCUCAAGGCUGAAACUUAAAGGAAUUGGCGGGG